UUGAUCCUGGCUCAGGAUGAACGCUAGCGGCGCGCUUAAUGCAUGCAAGUCGAGCGAUGAGGCCUCUUCGGGGGGUAAUCAGCGGCAGACGGGUGAGUAACACGUAGGUGAUCUACCCCAGAGACGGGGAUAACGGGCGGAAACAUCCGCUAAUACCGGAUAGACUUGUUCGGUCAAAGGGACAAGGAAAGGCUCCGGCGCUCUGGGAGGAGCCUGCGGUCCAUCAGCUAGUUGGCGGGGUAACGGCCCACCAAGGCAAAGACGGGUAGGGGGUGUGAGAGCAUGGCCCCCCACAAUGGGACUGGAACACGGCCCAUACUCCUACGGGAGGCAGCAGCAGGGAAUAUUGCACGAUGGACGGAAGUCUGAUGCAGCGACGCCGCGUGGAUGAAGAAGGCCCUCGGGUUGUAAAAUCCUUUACAGGGGGAAGAGGAAGGACGGUACCCCUGGAACAAGUGUCGGCUAACUACGUGCCAGCAGCCGCGGUAAGACGUAGGACACAAGCGUUAUCCGGAUUUACUGGGCGUAAAGCGUCUGCAGGCGGACAGGUAAGUUGGGCGUGAAAGCUCCGGGCCCAAGCCGGAGAGGUCGUUCAAUACUGCGUGUCUAGAGGGUGUCAGAGGGGAGUGGAAUUUCCGGAGUAGCGGUAAAAUGCGCAGAGAUCGGAAAGAACACCAAUGGCGAAGGCAGCUCCCUGGGGCAACCCUGACGCUAAGAGACGAAAGCUAGGGGAGCGAACAGGAUUAGAGACCCUGGUAGUCCUAGCCCUAAACGAUGGAUGCUGGAUGUGGGGCCAUAGCGCUCCGUGUCGAAGCGAAC
rnacentral:rRNA from 1 species